rnacentral:rRNA from 1 species
AUAAUAAUUUAAAUUUAUGAUUAAUUUAUUGAGAUUACUUUAAGUAAAAAUAAUUAUUUAGUUUAAGUACCGCUUAUGGAAAAAAUGUUUUUAAUUGAACUGUGAAGAUUAAACAGUAAAUAUAAAUAAGUAAAAUUAUAAUUUGUACCUUUUGUAUCAGGGUUAAUUAAUUAUAUAUAAAAAUUUAUUUUUCCCGAAUUAUAGUGAUUUAAGGUUAUUUGUCAAUUAUUGUGAUAUAAAUAUUAAUAAAAUAAUUUUAGUGAUGAAACUUCUUUCGAACUAUAAUAUUUCUGGUUUCUUAAGAAUUAAAUUUAAUUUAAAAUAAAUAUUAUAACUUAUAUUUUAAUAUAAAGUUUUAUAUUUAUUUAGUUAUAUUGAGGAUAAGCUAAGUAUAAUUUCUAUAAUAUUUUAAGUUUUAAUUAAUUAAAUAGGCUUGCAAUUAGCCUUUUUAUGUGAGUAAGUUAAAUUUUAUUUUUUAUUUAAAUACAUUUAAUAUAUUUUAGGUAUAUAUUAAGAAAAUUAAAUUAAUAAAAGUAUUUUUAUUAAAAUGAUUAAAUUAGUAAAUUACAAUAAAUUGUAUUUAAGAAUUAGGCAAAUAUAAUUUUCACCUGUUUACCAAAAACAUGUCCUUUAGAAAAAUAUUAAAGGUCUAUUCUGCCCAAUGAUAUUUUAAUGGCCGCGGUAAAUUGACCGUGCAAAGGUAGCAUAAUAAUUAGUCUUUUAAUUGAAGGCUUGUAUGAAUGAAUAGAUGAAAAAUUUUCUUUUUUAAUUAAAAUAGAUUGAAUUUAAAGUUUAAGUAAAAAAUCUUAAAUAAAUAAGUGGGACGAGAAGACCCUAUAGAAUUUUAAAUAAAUUUAUUUUACUAGAAUUAAGAAUUAAUAACUAGAAAAAUUGUUUUAUUUUUUGUUGGGGUGACAUUAUAAUAAGUAAAACUUUAAAUUAAUUUUUCAUAAAUUAAUGUUUAAUUGAUCCAGUUUUUUGAUUAUAAGAUUAAAUUACCUUAGGGAUAACAGCGUUAUUAGUUUGGAGAGUUCAUAUCGAUAAAUUAGAUUGCGACCUCGAUGUUGGAUUAAGAGAAGAGUUUAAAGCAAAAUUUAAAUAUUCUAGGUCUGUUCGACCUUUAAUUUCUUACAUGAUCUGAGUUCAAAUCGGCGUGAGCCAGGUUGGUUUCUAUCUACUAAUAUUUUUUUGAUAUUAGUACGAAAGGACCAUAUUAAAUAAUUUAAUUUAU